CUAUAUUCUAAUAAUUGUUAUUACUUCCAUACUGUGGAAUAAAUAAUUCUUUUUUUAAAAAUUUACUCUGUGGUGUAAAUAAGCCAUUCUGUCUAAUCGUGAUCACAACCAAUCAGAGCUGUAUUUAUGUAAAUUUAUCUGGUAUUCCAUCGUUAAUCCUGUGGGACAAAUUGCAUUAAGGUUCAAUUCUACCUCUCCAAUCUUUUACACCUUUGACAAAGUCUGGGGCUGGGAUUGGAUCCAGCUGCUCCCAGUCUCCUCUCAUAGAAAGAAUUUUGGAAGUCUAGGGGCUCUGCAGGGGUUUGAGGAUCCAUGGUGCGAUUUUGGGUGGCAUUUCUCCACCUCAUGACGCAGCAGGAGUUUCUCCAAAAAAGAAAUAAAGCUUUUGCCUGAAGCUCCCACUUUGCCCAUGACAGGAACCCCUGUGAGUGUCUGGGACAUCCCGGCUCUUUGGCAGCCUGGGGACUCCUGGAAUGUCACCUGUGGGAAUCCAUGGGAUUAGAGGAUUUUAGAAAAGGUGGGAAAAAGAAAGGCCGCAGAGACAGUAAGGAUAGUGAAAUGCUUAAGCAGCAGAAAAGAGAUAUCAGCAGUAGCGAAGACAUGAGAAAUAGAACAAUAAAGCUAUGUAGUUUGGCUUUCAAAGUUGCAAAAAAGUAUAUUUUAGUAAAUAUUUAGAAGGUUAAAUAUGAAUAGGGCUCUGUGCUUUGUCUUUUGUAAACGAACCAUUGUAUGAGAGAAAAAGUUGCUAUUGUUUUAACCAAAGCUACGUGUGCUUCAUGUGGUUGGAUAGAACGACUGUCAAUAUGCUUUUGCUCUAUGUAAUUGGCUGAAACUAGGUCUGAAACUAUCUUAUAAUAUGUUGUAACACUAAGUUUCCUUGGCCUUCUGUCUGGAUAGCGAGCUGCUCGCAUCGAUCCAUUGCCAUAGCCAUGUAAUGAGACUGAUGCUUUUUAAAUAAACAGCUCACGACGCUGUUCAGGUGUGGUCCCGUUCCGUUCGUGUCUGUAAAUAGUUGCCGGCGUCAAAUGGUGCCCCUCUGUGAGGAGGAUUUUAGACUAGAAUAAAAAAGAAAAUCUUGGAUAAACUCGGGCGCCGGAGACCCAGGAGGAAUACUUCAUCCCUUCGCCUUCUACAUCUGAUGUCUUUGUGCUGGAAUUAGGUGGGUCCCAGCCAAGAACGUCAAACCAUAUCGCACCCCAGAACGUGCUGACGAGUCCAGAACCGAGGAAGCAAGUACGCAGACGUGAGCCGAGCAGAGGGAUCCCGGGUCACGCCUGACGUUCCUUGUGCAUCGGUGGAACCUGCAAAUUCUGACUUUGUGUUAAUGUUAUUUAUAAGUGUGUCAAUUGUAUGUCAAAUGUUUGUUUCGUAGAGCUGAUUUUUGGCAAAAGUUUAGGUUUUUGUUUUUGUUGAAAGCAAAAUUUUAAAAAUUGAUAUAUAUGUAAGGAUUCUGCCAAAACUUAGUUCAUGGAUAAGAUGAAGCAAAUGCAAGUUGUAUGUUGGUAUUGGUGGGUUUUAAUUUCCUUUUGUCGUGCAGAUUUGCCUGUGGAACAACCGAAAACUAAUGUUUGGGUGACCUUAGCCAAGGCAGCCGGCUCAGAUACCAUAUGUUUGUCUAAUUCGGAACCAGAAAAACCCUUCUCAACCUGUCUAGUUGGUGUGCCAGUAAAAGAGUUGCCUUUAGUCAAAAAACAAUCCAAUGGUAAGCCAGGUGAAAUUGACAAUGGGAACAAUCCCACAGUGAAUUGGAACAUUUGGGCCAAAAAACUUCCUAGGGCAGCUUCUGAACCCCAAGAAUUAGAAAUCCUUGGUUCUUUGACAAUGGAUUUUUGCUUUACCUUCAUAGCAAAUGCUUGGCAAAAAGGUGAUCCUCCAAAUUUCAAUGUUACUCCUCAUUACUUUGCAUAUAGAAAUUUGAGUUUUUGGUGCAAUUCUUCAAACAGUUGGGAUGUGCUUCCUGAGGCUGACCUAUAUCCCCGGCAAUUGCCUAAGGGAUAUUGGUUCAUUUGUGGAGACAGGGCUUGGCAAGGCAUUCCAGCACACCUGGAAGGUGGCCCUUGUAGCAUUGGGAUGCUCACUGUAAUUGCACCCUCAGCUAAAGCGGUCAUGAAAAGGAAACAAAGGAAAACAAGAUCUGCUCAUCAUUACGAUGAGAACUGUCAGAGUGAUUUCAUGCCUUGGAAAGCUGCAAGAAGGGUUUCAGCAAGUAUAUUUUUACCCCAAUUGACUUCAGCAGUAGCUUUGAAACAAUUAGAUCGAGUUGGGUGUUGGCUGAGCAAGCAAACGAAUGCCACAUCCUCUGCCAUUAGUGAUAUGUUGACCGAUGUUGAUAGUGUUAGACAUGCUACCCUUCAAAAUAGAGCAGCAAUUGACUUUCUUUUACUGGCACAAGGGCAUGGUUGUGAGGAAUUUGAAGGACUGUGUUGUAUGAACCUGUCCGAUCAUUCGGAAUCCAUUCACAAGAGCAUACAAAAACUGAAAGACUUGACAGCCCAAAUUAAAGAGGGUAGUGAAUCCUGGUUGGAUGAUCUGUUCCAAGAAUGGAGCUUUGCACCUUGGCUAAGGCAACUUUGCAAGAUAGGUCUCUGUAUAUUGGGUGUUUUGGUAAUGAUGUUGAUAGUAAUCCCCUGCAUACUUCAGUGUGUGCGACGGAUGAUGAACAAAACAGUUAAAGAAGUUUUUGUCAUACAAGAGAGAGAAAUAAGAAGUAGAAGCACAGAGAGUGUUAGAAAUCUCACAGAAAUGACGGAUGAAGGUAUAGAAAUGGAGGAGGGUUUUGAGUUAAGACCCUGGAAUCGACAAGAAUUUUUUGAACAAUGACUUAUAACUAUUGUCAGACAUGAUUCAUAUCUUUUCACUGACUGGGCUUUCACAGCAUUAAAUUGCUGUGCUGUAACAUAGCGAUUAUUAGAGUCUGCAAGAAUAGGCCUCAAGCAGAUAGUAAGCAAAAGUGUUAUAGUAAGGCUAUGAAACGCAAGUAGUGGACCACAUGGUUUUGAAGAUUUCUUUUUGAGUCAACAGAGAGGGGGAAUUGUGGGAAUCCAUGGGAUUAGAGGAUUUUAGAAAAGGUGGGAAAAAGAAAGGCCGCAGAGACAGUAAGGAUAGUGAAAUGCUUAAGCAGCAGAAAAGAGAUAUCAGCAGUAGCGAAGACAUGAGAAAUAGAACAAUAAAGCUAUGUAGUUUGGCUUUCAAAGUUGCAAAAAAGUAUAUUUUAGUAAAUAUUUAGAAGGUUAAAUAUGAAUAGGGCUCUGUGCUUUGUCUUUUGUAAACGAACCAUUGUAUGAGAGAAAAAGUUGCUAUUGUUUUAACCAAAGCUACGUGUGCUUCAUGUGGUUGGAUAGAACGACUGUCAAUAUGCUUUUGCUCUAUGUAAUUGGCUGAAACUAGGUCUGAAACUAUCUUAUAAUAUGUUGUAACACUAAGUUUCCUUGGCCUUCUCUCUGGAUAGCGAGCUGCUCGCAUCGAUCCAUUGCCAUAGCCAUGUAAUGAGACUGAUGCUUUUUAAAUAAACAGCUCACGACGCUGUU